UUCAGAAUCUUGCACAAUGGGCGAAAGCCUGAUGCAGCGAUGCCGCGUGUGCGAAGAAGGCCCUCGGGUCGUAAAGCACUGUCAGAGGGGAAGAUAAUGACGGUACCCUCAAAGGAAGCCACGGCUAAUUACG
rnacentral:rRNA from 1 species